rnacentral:rRNA from 1 species
UACAGAGGGUGCGAGCGUUGUCCGGAACCACUGGGCGUAAAGGGCGCGUAGGCGGCCUGAUAAGUCGGGGGUGAAAUCCUGUGGCUUAACCACAGGGCUGCCUCCGAGACUGUCGGGCUCGAGCACAGUAGAGGCAGGUGGAAUUCCCGGUGUAGCGGUGGAAUGCGUAGAGAUCGGGAAGAACAUCGGUGGCGAAGGCGGCCUGCUGGGCUGUUGCUGACGCUGAGGCGCGACAGCGUGGGGAGCAAACAGG